UGCAUAUGUGAAUGUGUGUGGGUGCCAUGGU
rnacentral:piRNA from 1 species